rnacentral:misc_RNA from 1 species
UAUGGAGGGGACUAGCGUUGUUCGGAAUUACUGGGCGUAAAGCGCGCGUAGGCGGAUUAGUCAGUCAGAGGUGAAAUCCCGGGGCUCAACCCCGGAACUGCCUUUGAUACUGCUAGUCUUGAGUUCGAGAGAGGUGAGUGGAAUUCCGAGUGUAGAGGUGAAAUUCGUAGAUAUUCGGAGGAACACCAGUGGCGAAGGGGGCUCACUGGCUCGAUACGGACGCUGAGUUGCGAAAGCGAGGGGAGCAAACAGG